UACGUAGGGACCAAGCGUUGUUCGGAUUUACUGGGCGUAAAGGGCGCGUAGGCGGCAAUUCAAGUCAGUUGUGAAAUCUCCGAGCUUAACUCGGAACGGUCAACUGAUACUGUUUUGCUAGAGUACAGAAAGGGCAAUCGGAAUUCUUGGUGUAGCGGUGAAAUGCGUAGAUAUCAAGAGGAACACCUGAGGCGAAGGCGGGUUGCUAGGCUGAUACUGACGCUGAGGCGCGAAAGCUAGGGGAGCGAACAGG
rnacentral:rRNA from 1 species